rnacentral:lncRNA from 1 species
CGCCUUCCCUCGCCUCAGCUAAGCAAACCCCAAACUCUCCGAAGUCUUCCUGUGCAGCCGGAAGACUUUUCCAUCCGUUCAGCUUCGCUCAGGUGCCCCAAAGUGCCUUGAUCGCCCCCCUUCUUUUGUUAAAUAAGGGACCAUCUUUCCCCCGCACCACCAUGCCAGGACCGACAUUGCUACAACAUUUGGGAAGCAUAUGAAAAUAGAAAGAGGCGUCGCUCUGCGCAGCAGCAGCAGUGUCGUGUGGAUGCACUCUGGUGAAGCAGCACAGUGUAAGCAAAGACCCGCUGAAAGCGAGCUAGCGAGUGAGGGAUGCUUACCCAAAAACUAGAGCCGCAAAAGUCGUCCAUGGUGCCCAUCUGAACAGCGGGNGGGCCAGCUCGUGGGACCCCGGGAGAGGAGCCCCGCCCGCCACGACCGGUCUCGUCCCGCCGCUUGUUUCGAGUUGUUCCUUCUCCAAGAGCAGCAGCUGCCUUGCCUGACGCCCCGCUUCCCUUCCGCCAGGCAGUCUAGGGCGGAUGUUCGCCUCAGGAAGGUGGGCGGGGAACGAAUGGACUUGCCUCAGCGUCCGUGCCGUUGAAGUUGUUAAGCCCCGUCGUCGUGCAGAAAAGGGGGGUCUUUCCCUGCGGCGGGGGGAGCUGAUGAUUGCUGCUGCCCCUGCUCGUGUGAGGGAGCGCGCCGCCGACGGAGCGGAGCCUGUUGCUGCUGAAAGCCAUUCACUUCAGGGCGCCUCGUUGGAGGGUAUGUCUCCACUGCGCUGGCAAGGGANGACCCAGGGAGAUGCCUUCACCGCAGCAGGUUGCCCUCGUGGCUNAAUCCACUUUGGUAAGCCGCUGGACGACUCCCCUGCCGUUGCAGUUCUCAUGUUGGCGCUCUUCACCAUGCCGAGAAGCAGGGAGUGAGAGAAGCGGCCUCGGAACUCCUUCUCAUGCACUGGAUUUUUGGAUUUUAAACAAUAUUUGUUGAUCUUAUUUAAGAUUUGGUUUUUAAACCUUGUUUCCAAAAUGGUCAAUAUCGACUAAUCAAUAAAAACUAUGUACU